UAAGGAAGUCAGGUGUGAUGUACAGCACUACAUAUUGAAAACUAGAUCCUUGACUUUCUCCUAUGGUUAAAGUUGUUAGUGGAGUUGAACUCAAAUAUCUUUUGUCGGCUUGUGAAGCAACUAAGGCAACUAUCUUCUUUUUUCCAAUCUCCUCCUGAUAGCGAUCUAAUCUAAGAGUUUCCAAGCCCCUCAAGUACCCUACGGUGCAUAUACCUUGAGCAUAAUAAGGCAAUUGUAUUAUAGGCAAAUUGAAAGCACCAAAUCUGUAACUUCCGAAUAAAUACCCAACCUCAGAUUGUUUGAAGAAGUCAAGCAAAUAGCUCAAUUCAGCUUGUGUACCAUUCAACUUGGUUGAAUCCUCAGAGAAAAAAUUAGGCUGCAAUAUAUCACCGGUGAAAACUAUUGGAACUUUAAUGCCUCUGCCAAGAAUUCUUUUAAUAUCCUCUUCACAAAUUCUCUUUUUGUUUCUGAUAACCUCCUGGUCUUUCUCAGCUUCCUCACUCAGCCACUUCAAAGCAAUUAAAUCCGAGUACCCAGGAGGUAGUUGAGACACUUCAUCCAAGCAAAUUAAUUUAUUCAACACCUGAGAUAAUAGUGCUGUUUCAAAUGUCUUGAAAUUCCUGAUUUUAGAACUCUUUUCCUCUUCACUCAAUUCAUGGACUUUAGCAACAAUCUGAUCCAAAACACUUUUCCUAGAUGAGAUUAAGAGAAAAUCCUGGAGAUUCUUGCCAUCAAUUAGAAACUCAGUUAAAUUAUGCGUCUUUCCAGAUCCAGCAAAUCCAAUAAAUGGUAUUAAAUUAAAUUCCAUCUUCUCAUUUAUCAAAUCCAAGAUAGGCUCUUCAUUUAUGAGUAAAUCAAUUAAACUCCGAUUGAUUAGCCUGCCAUCAUUUACUUUUUGACGAUCAAUUAAAGCCCCACAAUUCAUGCUUUUAAAGCUUCUCAAUAGUUGUAAACCCCUGCAAGAAUUGAUUUUCUUCUUAAUCAUCCUAGGUUUUUCAAAGCCAUAUACUCCUUGAUAAAUCUUCGACAUGCUCUCAUUAAUGGACUCACAUGAUUCAAUUUGGUUCUGUAGAUUGAAAAUGUGCCCCGGCCUUCCACCCAGAUGCAUAAUGUGUUUAUCUGGAGAGAAAUUAAAACUCUUAAUGUCAGAACCUAAAUGCAGGCAUAUGUACCAGUCCAUUACUAAGCAAAUUCUGUGA
rnacentral:misc_RNA from 1 species